rnacentral:rRNA from 1 species
AUAAUACUCCAUAGAUUAGAGACACUGGAAUGUUCUUUAGUCGAAAGUUCUGGCGCCUUAGGAUGGAUCUGCGGUCGAUUAGGUUGUUGUUGGGGUAACGGCCCAACAAGCCUGUAAUCGAUACGGGUUGUGAGAGCAAGAGCCCGGAGAUGGAAUCUGAGACACGAUUCCAGGCCCUACGGGGCGCAGCAGGCGCGAAAACUUUACAAUGCAGGAAACUGUGAUAAGGGAACUCCGAGUGCCCGUAUACGCGGGCUGUCCAGGUGUUUAAAAAUCAUCUGAAGAAAGGGCCGGGCAAGACCGGUGCCAGCCGCCGCGGUAAUACCGGCGGCUCGAGUGGUGGCCACUAUUAUUGGGCUUAAAGCGUCCGUAGCUGGACCGAUAAGUCUCUUGGGAAAUCCGCCGGCUCAACCGGCGGGCGUCUAAGGGAUACUGUUAGUCUAGGGACCGGGAGAGGUGAGAGGUACUCCGGGGGUAGGAGUGAAAUCCUGUAAUCCCCGGGGGACCACCGAUGGCGAAGGCAUCUCACCAGAACGGCUCCGACAGUGAGGGACGAAAGCUGGGGGAGCGAACCGGAUUAGAUACCCGGGUAGUCCCAGCCGUAAACUAUGCGCGUUAGGUGU